GCAAUCCCGAGCUUUCCCCGGCAUCCCCGAGCCUCUCAAAGUCCUCUCCUCCACCCCAGCAUCCUCAUCGACCAGUUAAAUAAGCUCCCGGAGCUCUCCUCGCCCUCCAUUGCCGCCAUGGCCUCGGCCCCUCCUCUGCUAAAUUCUCCUAGUGCGAGCCCCCUCUCUCCCGCCUGACCACGCCAUCGCUCUGCCCUCUCCGGCACGGGCCUCCGCAAUCCCUCGCCUAGUCCUCCGGUGGCCGGUAGCCGCCGCGCCCUUCGGCACCCGAGCCCCCGUCCGCCAUAGCCGGGGGAACCCACGCUCUGGUCCUCCCAAGCUCCGCCACCUACGGGGAUGGAUGCGGCCCGUCGCGCUGGUCAUCCUGGCAGGUUGAGCGCCACCAGAGGUGGCCCGUGUCGCCGAUGGUCGUCGUCAGGGCCGGCCCCUACCUCGGCCAGGCAGGAGGCGACGUGGGGAAGAAGACCCUGAGCCCGUGCCCGUGGGCCCCGAGCGGCGGUGACAAAGCAAGGUCAACCACCGGGCCCGCCCGUUGUUAAGUGGAAGCGCAGUUAUAGGAAUGCACUUCCCUGCUACAGAGGCGUAUUUAUUUUAAACUGCAGCCUGGUAUACGAUUUCCUUUUCAGAAAACGUAAUCUUCCAAGUACGCCUUCGGUUUUAGCCACCAGGGGCUUGUCUAUGAAUAAACUUUUUGCAGAUUGGUCCCUAGAUUUCAAACGGCUAUAACUUUUUAACCGAGGCUCCGAUUCAUGUGAAACCAGCGCCCACUUCUUCAUUUCUUCGAGCCCGUUCCGAUGGUAUCAUUUUCAUAAUGUUUUCACACUAUGAAAACGACACAGGGCCACCCAG
rnacentral:lncRNA from 1 species